UACGUAGGGGGCGAGCGUUGUCCGGAAUUACUGGGCGUAAAGCGCACGUAGGCGGCUUUGUAAGUUAGAGGUGAAAGCCCGGGGCUCAACUCCGGAACUGCCUUUAAGACUGCAUCGCUUGAAUCCGGGAGAGGUGAGUGGAAUUCCGAGUGUAGAGGUGAAAUUCGUGGAUAUUCGGAAGAACACCAGUGGCGAAGGCGGCUCACUGGACCGGUAUUGACGCUGAGGUGCGAAAGCGUGGGGAGCAAACAGG
rnacentral:rRNA from 1 species